GCAACCUCUGCCUCCUGUGUUCAAGUGAUUCUCGUGCCUCAGACUCCCUGAGUAGUUGGGGUUACAGACAUGCACCACCACACCAAAUUAAUUUUUGUAUUUUUAGUAGAGACAGUGUUUUAUCAUGUUAGCCAGGCUGGUCUCAAACUCCUGGCCUCAAGCGAUCUGCCCGCCUCGGCCUCCCAGAGUGCUGGGAUUACAGGCAUGAGCCACUGCACCUGGCAGAAACUGUUUCCUUAAUGUUCUAACGGGCAGCAAGGUUUCUUCCCCAGGCCUCUGAGCCACUGAUGACAUAUCCUGCCCUUCUGUUUUCCGUGAGAUUGCUCACAGGACCUCACUCUCCCUCUUGCUCCCAUUGUGUAUCUCUAAAGUCUCUUCCAAUUUUACUAUUCCUGUUCUGUGCCACCACCAUCCCGUUAUCUUCCCCAGCUGCUCUCAUCAGGAAAUUUCGUGGGUUGCACUGAAACGGCCCCUUCAGACCAAAGGCAAUGCUAUGUAGGCUAAAAUGAAAUACGCAGCUGAUGCCUCGGACGGGGCUUGUGAUUGAGGUGACUGAGGCAGCCUUUCUCAGCAUGGAGGAAGAAAGGCUUUCCCAGGGCUUGCACCUUCCUGAAGUCUAACACCCAGGGCCCCCAGCCCUACCCACUCCUUCACCUUGGGCUGGUGAACCUCUGGGUUGUCUCUGCUAGAUGGAGAGGCUGAGAGCCAGGAAGGGAGAGGGCUGUGGGUUUUAGAAGGCAAGACUCCCUCCCCUUCCCAGGGUCAGGUGUCAUGUUCCUGAGGCUAUAGCCUCCGUUUCCUCCAAGCUCUUUCGCUCCAUCCCUGCCUCCAUUGUCCAUUUGACAGCUGAGUGCCCACUGUAGGCCAGCCAUUGCACUGGGCUUGGAGGUGGGGAGCAUCACUGCCUGCCACCACUUUCUGCUGCUGCAGGCCUGCUCUGAUGUGAUGCGA
rnacentral:lncRNA from 10 species